rnacentral:tRNA from 1 species
GCGGCUGUGAUCUAAUGGCUAUGAUUCGAGCUUCCCAAGCUUGCUAUUCGGGUUCAAAAAGAAGUAAGAGGUAAAAAUAAUAAUUUACUUUAUACCUCAUACCUUAAACAUCUUACCUUUUUAUGAAAGUCCCGGCAGCCGCA